GGGCCCUCUGGGUCCAACCUCCCACCCGUGUUUAUUUACCUUGUUGCUUCGGCGGGCCCGCCUUAACUGGCCGCCGGGGGGCUCACGCCCCCGGGCCCGCGCCCGCCGAAGACACCCUCGAACUCUGUCUGAAGAUUGAAGUCUGAGUGAAAAUAUAAAUUAUUUAAAACUUUCAACAACGGAUCUCUUGGUUCCGGCAUCGAUGAAGAACGCAGCGAAAUGCGAUACGUAAUGUGAAUUGCAAAUUCAGUGAAUCAUCGAUCUUUGAACGCACAUUGCGCCCCCUGGUAUUCCGGGGGGCAUGCCUGUCCGAGCGUCAUUGCUGCCCUCAAGCCCGGCUUGUGUGUUGGGCCCCGUCCUCCGAUCUCCGGGGGACGGGCCCGAAAGGCAGCGGCGGCACCGCGUCCGGUCCUCGAGCGUAUGGGGCUUUGUCACCCGCUCUGUAGGCCCGGCCGGCGCUUGCCGAUCAACCCAAAUUUUUAUCCAGUUGACCUCGGAUCAGUAGGGAUACCCGUGAACUUAAGCU
rnacentral:rRNA from 1 species